ACCUUGCUGACAAGUUCCAAAUAGUACGAAACCCUGGUCCAGGGU
rnacentral:hammerhead_ribozyme from 1 species